CCGAGUAUAACAGUAGCACCCAUGUACAGGUUUUAUAGUGUUUUUGAAAGUUACAGGGUAAAAUAUAAGGCCACUUUUUCACAUAGAAAUUUGCCAGAUGGGUUUGUUGCCUUUGAGAACGUAUGGUAGCCCAGGAAUGAGAAUUACCCCCAUGACGGCAUACCAUUUGCAAAAGAAGACAACCCAAGGUAUUGCAAAUGGGGUUUG